AGGAACCCGGAGGAAACCUGAGCGCACAUCGCCUGUUACCUAAUCCCCCUGCCUCCUUCAGGGCUUCCCUGAAGCUUCCGCCGCCGCCGGCGCCGCCGCGGCUCCCGGAGGGUUUGUGUGUACUGCAUCAUCAGUGAGUCACAAGCCCCGAGAGGAUGCAUAUCAGUCACAUAAGAGUAUCUGCAAGUAGUACCUACUCUGUUUCAUGUUGAAAUGUUAAAGUUACCAGAUGUCCUUGAUUCAUCUUGGCAGUCCCC